rnacentral:rRNA from 1 species
UACGUAGGUGGCAAGCGUUGUCCGGAUUUACUGGGCGUAAAGAGCGCGCAGGCGGUCGUUCAAGUCGCGUGUGAAAGCCCCCGGCUCAACUGGGGAGGGUCACGCGAUACUGAUCGACUGGAAGGCAGGAGAGGGUAGUGGAAUUCCCGGUGUAGUGGUGAAAUGCGUAGAUAUCGGGAGGAACACCAGUGGCGAAGGCGGCAUCCUGGACCAAUUCUGACGCUGAGUGAGCGAAAGCAUGGGGAGCGAACAGG